CCUACGGGUUGCUGCAGUGGGGAAUAUUGGACAAUGGGCGAAAGCCUGAUCCAGCCAUGCCGCGUGUGUGAAGAAGGCCUUCGGGUUGUAAAGCACUUUCAGUGGGGAAGAAAGCCUUGGGGCUAAUACCCUCGAGGAAGGACAUCACCCACAGAAGAAGCACCGGCUAACUCCGUGCCAGCAGCCGCGGUAAUACGGAGGGUGCGAGCGUUAAUCGGAAUUACUGGGCGUAAAGCGCGCGUAGGCGGUCUGAUAAGCCGGUUGUGAAAGCCCCGGGCUCAACCUGGGAACGGCAUCCGGAACUGUCAGGCUAGAGUGCAGGAGAGGAAGGUAGAAUUCCCGGUGUAGCGGUGAAAUGCGUAGAGAUCGGGAGGAAUACCAGUGGCGAAGGCGGCCUUCUGGACUGACACUGACGCUGAGGUGCGAAAGCGUGGGUAGCAAACAGGAUUAGAUACCCAGUAGUC
rnacentral:rRNA from 1 species